AUACCUACUUGGCAAGGCAAGCAUCAUGCUCAAAAAGAUGGUUUCCAAGGGUGAGACUUUUCUAUUAUACUUCAGAUGGUGACCCCUGUAAUUUUUUUCAAUUAUCAAAAACUCAACUACAAAAUGUAUGCUUAUAACUGACAGAAUUUGCACCGUCUCCUG